UACGUAGGUGACAAGCGUUGUCCGGAUUUACUGGGCGUAAAGAGCGCGCAGGCGGUCGUUCAAGUCGAGUGUGAAAGCCCCCGGCUCAACUGGGGAGGGUCACUCGAUACUGAUCGACUCGAAGGCAGGAGGGGGUAGUGGAAUUCCCGGUGUAGUGGUGAAAUGCGUAGAUAUCGGGAGGAACACCAGUGGCGAAGGCGGCAUCCUGGACCGGCAUUGACGCUGAGGAGCGAAAGCCAGGGGAGCAAACAGG
rnacentral:rRNA from 1 species